UGACCUCAGCUCAGUCGUGAAUACCCGCUGAAUUUAAGCAUAUAACUAAGCGGAGGAAAAGAAACUAACGAGGAUUCCCUUAGUAACUGCGAGUGAAAGGGGAAAAGCCCAGCGCUGAAUCCUUCAGCCACUGGCUGCUAGGAAUUGUAGCGUAUAGGUGCGACUGUCCGUUCGUUUCGUGCACCCAAAGUCCCCUUGAGCGGGGCUAUAGUCCAAAGAAGGUGCUAGACCUGUACGGGUGGCGAAGCGAACGGUUGGUUGCUCCUUGGAGUCGGGUUGCCUGGGAUCGCAGCCCAAAGUUGGUGGUAGACCUCAUCUAAGGCUAAAUAUGGCCACGAAACCGAUAGCAAACAAGUACCGUGAGGGAAAGUUGCAAAGAACUUUGAAGAGAGAGUUCAAGAGGGCGUGAAACCGUUGAGAUUGAAACGGAUAGAGUUAACGAAACUCGGCUGCAUUCAUCCGAUCGGCCUAAUGGAUCAAUAGCGUUCGCAUCCUCGAUGAGGGCAACGUUAUCGUUAACUAUUGGGUAAUUGAUCGGUGUAUUUGCGGCUGGUAUGCGCUGAGAGUUUUGUGAUCGCAUGUUAACGGGUGUGCAGUGGACCAUUCCUUCCGGGUGUGGAAACCUUCACAUCUUUAGGCAUGUCGAUUAUAAAGUUUUGAACGUGGCGUCUCCGCUAUUGUGCGUCGACUUAUGCGUACUAUUGUGAUUAUUGAAUAUUCGCAUGCGAAUAUUUGUAGUUAACGAUAUUGCGACAAAAGUGCGGACGCGUUGAGACGUGUAUCUCGGUGUGAACGUUGACCACCUAUCCGACCCGUCUUGAAACACGGACCAAGGAGUCUAGCAUAUGCGCGAGUCAUUGGGUGGUAAACCUAAGGGCGUAAUGAAAGUAAAAGUCACCUCGAUGUGGCCGAUAUGGGAUCCGGAUAACUUACGAGCCAUUCGGCGCACCAUAGCCCCGUCCCCAUUGCUUGCAAUAGGGCGGAGGUAGAGCGCAUAUGCUGGGACCCGAAAGAUGGUGAACUAUGCCUGAGCAGGAUGAAGCCAGAGGAAACUCUGGUGGAAGUCCGAAGCGGUUCUGACGUGCAAAUCGAUCGUCUGACUUGGGUAUAGGGGCGAAAGACUAAUCGAACCAUCUAGUAGCUGGUUCCCUCUGAAGUUUCCCCCAGGAUAGCUGGAGUUCGUAUGGUGCAGUUAUAUUCGGUAAAGCGAAUGAUUAGAGGAAUUGGGGACGAAACGACCUCAACCUAUUCUCAAACUUUCAAUGGGUAUGAAGUCCCGCUUGCUUGACAUUAAUGAAGCGUGGACAUUGAAUGUGAGCUCCAAGUGGGCCAUUUUUGGUAAGCAGAACUGGCGCUGUGGGAUGAACCAAACGUCGGGUUAAAGUGCCAAACUUCCCGCUCAUGAGACCCCAUGAAAGGCGUUGGUUGAUAUAGACAGCAGGACGGUGGCCAUGGAAGUCGGAAACCGCUAAGGAGUGUGUAACAACUCACCUGCCGAAUCAACUAGCCCUGAAAAUGGAUGGCGCUUGAGCGGGAGACUUAUACCCGACCGUUGCUUGGCUUGUGUGUUUCUCCUCAUAUGAGAGAUUCGCCUGGCCGCAACGAGUAAGAGGGUCGCAGUGGUUUGCGUUGAAGGCUUUGGGCGUAGGCCCGGCUGGAGCUUCCACUGGUGCAGAUCUUGGUGGUAGUAGCAAAUAUUCAAGUGAGAUCCUUGAAGACUGAAGUGGAGAAGGGUUCCACGUGAACAGCAGUUGAAUGUGGGUCAGUCGGCCCUAAGAUACUGGCUAAUGCCAUGUGUUAUCGAGAGAUGGAGUUCAAAUCUGUCUCGUUUAUCGAAAGGGAAACGGGUUAAUAUUCCCGUACCUGGACACGGAGAUAAGCGCUCAUUGCGAGUGUUUAGCGCGGUAACGCAAACGAACUCGGUAACGUUGAAUAGAGCCCGAGCUAGAGUUCUCUUUUCUAGUUAAGGAACGAAUUCCCUGGAAUCGGUUCAGCCGGAGAUAGGGAUGUUGUUUCCGUAAAGCGCCACGGUUCCUGUGGUGUCUCGUGCGCUCUAUUCGGCCCUUGAAAAACCGAGGGAGGCUAUUUGAAUUUCGUGCCAGGCCGUACCGAUAUCCGCAGCAGGUCUCCAAGGUGAACAGCCUCUAGUCGAUAGAAUAAUGUAGGUAAGGGAAGUCGGCAAAUUAGAUCCGUAACUUCGGGAAAAGGAUUGGCUCUAAGGACUGGGCCGGUCGGGCUGCAGUGUGAAGUGAGCUCGGUUUGAUCCAUGCAGUGCAACGCUCGGAAACGGGUGGCGCUCGGCUAGCGUUCGAACUGUCUUGUGGACCGCUGCAGCUGUGUGCCGCGUCAAUAAUGGCGUUGGUGCUUCGGCGGGCGCUAAACAGUCGACUUAGAACUGGCACGGACUCGGGGAAUCCGACUGUCUAAUUAAAACAGAGGAGACAGAUGGCCCUUGCGAGCGUUGACUGUCUCUGAUUUCUGCCCAGUGCUCUGAAUGUAAAAGUGAAGAAAUUCAACCAAGCGC
rfam:Ascaris suum AG01715, whole genome shotgun sequence.